GUCCACAUGAAGGGUUAUGUGGUCUGGCCUGCUCACUGAAUUUUCGUUUUAAAGAGCCGCAGUAUUUUGACUGUGCAAAGGUAGCAUAAUAAUUAGGUUUUUAAUUGGAACCUUGUAUGAAAGGUUAAACAAGAGAAUUUCUGUCUUUUUUUUAAAAAUUGAAUUUAACUUUUAAGUGAAAAGGCUUAAAUUUUUUAAGGGGACGAUAAGACCCUAUAAAGUUUUAUAAUAAAAUAAAUCUUUAAAGAAGAAAAUUAUAAAUUUAAGAUUUGUUUUUUUAUUUUGUUGGGGCGACACGGAUAUAAAUUUAAUUAACUGUCAGAGAAAAAAAACAUAUAUUUAUGAAAAGUUAAAAUGGUCCUAAAUAUAGAUUAUAAGAUAAAGUUACUUUAGGGAUAACAGCGUAAUUUUUUUCAAGAGUUCUUAUCGAAAAAAAAGUUUGCGACCUCGAUGUUGAAUUAAAAUGUCUUUACAGUGUAGCCGUUGUAUAAAGAAGGUCUGUUCGACCUUUAAAAUUUUACAUGAUUUGAGUUCAAACCGGUGUAAGCCAGGUU
rnacentral:rRNA from 1 species